GUGCUCGCUUCGGCAGCACAUAUACUAAAGUUGACACGAUACAGAGAAGAUUAGCAUGACCUCUGUGUAAGGAUGACACACAAAUUCCUGAAGCGUUCAUAUUUUUA
ensembl:snRNA U6 U6 spliceosomal RNA